rnacentral:lncRNA from 1 species
AUGUGUAUCCCUUAGAUGAAGUUUCUAAAUUUGUUGAAAGAGAUCAAAUUGCACAUAGAUAGAGGCCAUCAAUAUCAUUAAGUUAUGCCCUUUUAUCAUAAUAUUCAAAUCAUAAGUUGGGUCAGUUCGAACACACACUCAAUCCCAAAUCACAAUAAGCCAUCCUCGCAAAUUUAAAAUUUCGACAUCACUACCUUUCCUACUUCAUUCCUCAAGAGGACCAGAUGUCUUUACAAAACCUCAAUAUCAUUUUGCACAUCAAAUGAAUCAAAUAUCUUAGUAAUCCUUAAAUCAUGCUCCGACACCACCAUUGUCACGCCCACCAAAUUAUCACAUACAAGAGGUACGACCUUGUCUUAAAAUCCAUAAAAUUAAAAUGUAAUUAACAAUCUAAUCCGUAUUCACACAUACUUUGAAUUAUUACCCAGCUUCAGGAUUUGGUUAUUUAUAAUUGGAUCAUUUAUAACACAUACUCUAUUCCAAAACUCAAAAGGCCAUCGUCCAAAAUUUAAAAAUUCGACUUCAAUCCCUUUUAUACUUCAUUUGUCAAGUAGAUUAAAUAUGUAUCCUUUAGAUGCCGUUUUUAAAUUUCUUGAAAGACAUCAUAUUGCACAUAGAUAAAGGCCAUCAAUAUCAUUAAGUCAUGCCCUUUUAUCAUAAUAUUCAAAUCAUAAUUUGGGUCAGUUCGAACACACACUCAAUCCCAAAUCUCAAUAAGCCAUCCUCGAAAAUUUAAAAUUUCGACUUCACUACCUUUCAUACUUCAUUUCUCAAGAGGACCAGAUGUCUUUACUAAACCUCAAUAUCAUUUUACACAUCAAAUGAAUCAAAUAUUUUAGUAAUC